GACGAACGCUGGCGGCGUGCUUAACACAUGCAAGUCGAACGGAAAGGCCCUGCUUUUGUGGGGUGCUCGAGUGGCGAACGGGUGAGUAACACGUGAGUAACCUGCCCUUGACUUUGGGAUAACUUCAGGAAACUGGGGCUAAUACCGGAUAGGAUCUCCUGCUGCAUGGUGGGGGUUGGAAAGUUUCGGCGGUUGGGGAUGGACUCGCGGCUUAUCAGCUUGUUGGUGGGGUAGUGGCUUACCAAGGCUUUGACGGGUAGCCGGCCUGAGAGGGUGACCGGGCACAUGGGGACUGAGAUACGGCCCAGACUCCUACGGGAGGCAGGAGUGGGGAAUAUUGCACAAUGGGCGGAAGCCUGAUGCAGCAACGCCGCGUGCGGGAUGACGGCCUUCGGGUUGUAAACCGCUUUCGCCUGUGACGAAGAGUGAGUGAAGGUAAUGGGUAAAGAAGCACCGGCUAACUACGUG
rnacentral:rRNA from 1 species